GCCCAAGGUCAUGGUUGCAAACUCCAUUUAGGACAGAUAGCUUUGCUUUAUAAUACAGCCCUAAACACAGGCCUGGUAUCGGCCAGCCUCCUGGACAUGAGGAGGCCUGUGCACCAGGGAAGAGAGUGGAAGGACAGGAAUCCAGGGCGAGGGGCAACUGAGUCCAGUGGUGGGUCCACAGUGCUACUUUCAACAGCUCCGGUGCACCUGAUAUUGAAAAUAACAUCUCCACUGGAUUCCUAAUUCACCGAAGCUGCUGCCUGAGACUGAGCAUUGCUGGGCUUUCUGAGCAACUGAGACAAAUUUUGAUCGUUAAAUAAAUUCCAGGCAAGAGCAUGUUUGACUUAUGCACAGGAAAGCAGAGAAUUCUCCUGUAAGCUGCAAAACAAUAGUGUUUUAUCUUAUCUGAGGAACUUAUUGCCGCUUGCCUGUGUGUGUUUUACUGCCAAAAUAAAAUAAAUUGAAUCAGCUCACA